UUCAUGAGAGAGAGAGAGAGAGGGAAGGAGGUGAUGGUGUAUAGCAAAAGAUGAGAGAUAGAGAAUUGAUCAAUAGAUUGAAGAUAAAGAAUUGAAAGUCCGAUGGAAGAAAGGAAAAAGGCCAUGAUGAAUAAUUAGAGAUAAAGAUGUUAGGAUUGUAGAUGGUAAUGGGACCAUUUAAAUAUAUUAAUUGGAAGUUAGAUAUUGGGACCGUUUGCAUUAAUUGAAAUAUAAUGGAGGGAAGGGAAAUGAUCAUUAUGAAUAAUUGUAGAUAGAAACGAUACAAUUGAAUACACUAAUUGAAAGAUUGGUUAGUGGGAUCGUUAAAAUGCAUAUUGAAAAUUUGGUGAAGGAAAGAAGAAGAGUCACAUACUAGUGAGGGUGAAGAAGAACUUGUCACGUGGCAAUAAAUAUUGGGAAUUCAUACAGGUUAAUAGAUAUAUAUAUAUAUAUAUAUAUAUNAGGAAAGAAGAAGAGUCACAUACUAGUGAGUGUGAAGAAGAACUUGUCACGUGGCAAUAAAUAUUAGGAAUUCAUACAGGUUAAUAGAUAUAUAUAUAUAUUAUUGAGCUCCUAUGCUUUUAAAAGUACCAAGUUAUCGGUGCUUGUAGAUUUUUAGCCAUUGGAUUAAGAUAUAUGCGGCUUAGGAUGAUGUGGACCCCCUAGGGUUGAGUGGGUAGUUUGUUGAAUAGUAUAAUUUAAUGGUUGAAAAUGAUUCGAGGAGUAGAUCUAACGGUAAAAAACUUAAAAGCACCAAGUGCUUGAUGCUUUUACAAGUACCAUAGCUGGACUCUAUAUAUAUAUAUAUUUAUGGAGAAUAAACUACUACUUCUUAAUUCUUAUA
rnacentral:lncRNA from 1 species